rnacentral:rRNA from 1 species
UACGAAGGAUUCGAGCGUUAUCCGGAUUUAUUGGGUUUAAAGGGUGCGUAGGCGGACUGAUAAGUCAGUGGUGAAAUCCUGUUGUUCAACAACAGAACUGCCAUUGAUACUGCCAGUCUUGAGUACAGUUGAGGUAGGCGGAAUGUGUCAUGUAGUGGUGAAAUACUUAGAUAUGACACAGAACACCGAUUGCGAAGGCAGCUUGCUAAACUGUAACUGACGCUGAGGCACGAAAGCAUGGGGAGCAAACAGG